rnacentral:lncRNA from 1 species
GUACAUUUCUGCUUUUCCAUUCUGGAAUGAAUACAUGAGAAAAUGCAUGUCAGAAGCCUCUGAAUUGGCUGGGAAAAUUAUUUUUAAGUGGCUCUUUAAAAAUUAUUAUUUGGGAGUUCCCAUUGUGGCUCAGCAGGAAUGAACCCAUAGUAUCCAUGAGGAUGUGGGUUUGAUCCCCAGCCUUGCUCAGUGGGUUAAGGAUCUGGUAUUGCCAUGAGCUGUGGGGUAGGUCACAGACGUGGCUCAGAUCUGGCGUUGCUAUGGCUGUGGUGUCGGCUGGCGGCUACAGCUCUGAUUUGACCCCUCGCCUGGGAACCUCCAUAUACUGCAGCUGUGGCCAUGGCGGGGGGAACCUUUAUAAACUUUUCUCAGCUUUUACUUUCUUAUCUUUAUGGAAAUGGUAAUAUCUACAUAUCCUUUCUCUGUUACACCCAAGACAUGUUUUCAGAGAGGGGAUUUUUGUUGCUUACUGUUUUACAGGAAAUAAACUGAGGUUUCUAUUGGGAAAAAAAAUGCUAGCUGUCAUGUACUGAGAAUGCUCUUCUUGCCAAUUGGUAGGGUUAAUUUACCAUCCUGUUCACCUUGGCAAUAACCUUAUAAGAUAGGUCUGAUGAGUACUGCAUCUUACAGCUGGAGAAACUGGGGCUGGAAGAGCUCAAGCUGCUCGCACAGGUCACUGGGCCUGAAAAGAAAGACUGUAGCCAAGAAUGGAACUCAACUACACGGAUGUCAGCUACACGGAACUCAACCACACACCGAGAAGUGAUGACGUUUCUACAAUUCAGGGCUGGAAUCUGACUUCACUACUCCCAAGAAUGCCUGCUCAGAACCCUGAUAAUCCUGGAAGGCUUGAAAAGGCAGAACUCUUUAUUUCUACUGCCCAGACCUUACCACACAAGCAAAGGCCUAAGAAAGAAGCAGUGGCAACGCUAACAUUUUCUGGAUAGCUGUGUUGGCCUGACACUGGACGAGGUAUUUUAUGUUAAUUCUCUCAAAUAACAGAAGAGGCAGACAUUAUUAUAUCCAUUUUAUAGGUG